GAUGAACGCUGGCGGCGUGCCUAAUACAUGCAAGUCGAGCGAACAGACGAGGAGCUUGCUCCUCUGACGUUAGCGGCGGACGGGUGAGUAACACGUGGAUAACCUACCUAUAAGACUGGGAUAACUUCGGGAAACCGGAGCUAAUACCGGAUAAUAUAUUGAACCGCAUGGUUCAAUAGUGAAAGACGGUUUUGCUGUCACUUAUAGAUGGAUCCGCGCCGCAUUAGCUAGUUGGUAAGGUAACGGCUUACCAAGGCAACGAUGCGUAGCCGACCUGAGAGGGUGAUCGGCCACACUAGAACUGAGACACGGUCCAGACUCCUACGGGAGGCAGCAGUAGGGAAUCUUCCGCAAUGGGCGAAAGCCUGACGGAGCAACGCCGCGUGAGUGAUGAAGGUCUUCGGAUCGUAAAACUCUGUUAUUAGGGAAGCACAAAUGUGUAAGUAACUAUGCACGUCUUGACGGUACCUAAUCAGAAAGCCACGGCUAACUACGUG
rnacentral:rRNA from 1 species